UCCGGUUGAUCCUGCCAGAGGUUACUGCUAUCGAGGUUCGACUAAGCCAUGCGAGUCGAAUGUAGCAAUACAUGGCGAACUGCUCAGUAACACGUGGACAACCUGCCCUUAGGUUGGGUAUAAACCCGGGAAACUGGGUAUAAUACCCGAUAGGUCUCGAUUGCUGGAAUGCAUCGAGAUUUAAAGCUCCGGCGCCUAAGGAUGGGUCUGCGGCCUAUCAGGUAGUAGUGGGUGUAGCGUACCUACUAGCCUACGACGGGUACGGGUUGUGAGAGCAAGAGCCCGGAGAUGGAUUCUGAGACACGAAUCCAGGCCCUACGGGGUGCAGCAGGCGCGAAAACUUUACAAUGCUGGCAACAGCGAUAAGGGAACCUCGAGUGCCAGGUUACAAAUCUGGCUGUCGAGAUGCCUAAAAAGCAUUUCAUAGCAAGGGCCGGGCAAGACCGGUGCCAGCCGCCGCGGUAACACCGGCGGCUCGAGUGGUAACCGUUAUUAUUGGGUCUAAAGGGUC
rnacentral:rRNA from 1 species